rnacentral:lncRNA from 1 species
GGAUACUAGAUUCUUUUUUUAUUGUUCCUGGGCUGUAAGGUCAUGAACAUGCUUUUCCUCUGAUGUGGCCUUGCCUGCUAACAGAUUCCUGCUGGCAGACACAUGUUCCCCCCGGCACACAGGGACUGCUCUUCACUGCAGUAAACCCAGGCCGGUCCAACCUGAGAUAUGGAGUGGUAACACAGAUGGGUGGGAGUGGGGAGAAGAAAAGGAAACGAAGGACUGCUCAUGUGCUGUGGUUCUUUAAGGAUUACCCUUUUGAGACAUGGGUCCCAAUUUACAGAGUGAAGUCGAUAUGGAAACCCAGCCGUUGAAACCAUUUACAACACAUAUAGCAUAAAAACCAGCCAGCAACCUAUCAC